rnacentral:rRNA from 1 species
AGUCGAACGGCAGCACGGGAGCUUGCUCCUGGUGGCGAGUGGCGAACGGGUGAGUAAUGCGUCGGAACGUACCGAGUAAUGGGGGAUAACGCAGCGAAAGCUGUGCUAAUACCGCAUACGCCCCGAGGGGGAAAGCAGGGGAUCGCAAGACCUUGCGUUAUUCGAGCGGCCGACGUCUGAUUAGCUGGUUGGUGGGGUAAAGGCCUACCAAGGCGACGAUCAGUAGCGGGUCUGAGAGGAUGAUCCGCCACACUGGGACUGAGACACGGCCCAGACUCCUACGGGAGGCAGCAGUGGGGAAUUUUGGACAAUGGGGGCAACCCUGAUCCAGCCAUUCCGCGUGAGUGAAGAAGGCCUUCGGGUUGUAAAGCUCUUUCAGCUGGAACGAAACGGUACGCGCUAACAUCGCGUGCUAAUGACGGUACCGGCAGAAGAAGCACCGGCUAACUACGUGCCAGCAGCCGCGGUAAU